rnacentral:rRNA from 1 species
UGAGGAAUCUUCCGCAAUGGGCGAAAGCCUGACGGAGCAACGCCGCGUGAAUGAAGAAGGCCUUCGGGUCGUAAAGUUCUGUCUUUUGGGAAGAAGUCUCUAUGGGUAAAUAAUCCAUAGAGGUGACGGUACCAGAGGAGGAAGCUCCGGCUAACUACGUGCCAGCAGCCGCGGUAAUACGUAGGGAGCAAGCGUUGUCCGGAAUUACUGGGCGUAAAGGGCGCGUAGGCGGGUAUUUAAGUCAGAUGUGAAAGCUCCGGGCUCAACUUGGAGAGUGCAUUUGAAACUGGGUAUCUUGAGGGCAGGAGAGGAAAGUGGAAUUCCUAGUGUAGCGGUGGAAUGCGUAGAUAUUAGGAGGAACACCAGUGGCGAAGGCGACUUUCUGGACUGUACCUGACGCUGAGGCGCGAAAGCAUGGGGAGCGAACA